UUUUUAUGCUUUUUAAAAUAUGCACAUUCAAUAUAAUUUUCAACAAUAACUUGAUCUUCGCAGUGGUCAUUUCACUUUUUAGAUGGCGUUGCUUUACAUAAAUUGCUAUCUUCUUUGAAAGCUCUUUGUGAUACCAGUACGUAGUUGGUAUUAUGGAACGGAUGAAUUUCUUCAAAGAUGUUGCCCAUUCGCUCCAUUCUCUGCCAGAUCUAAUUGCAACAACUCUUCCAUUACUAUCCAUAAUCGCAAGCGGAUCAUGCCUUCUCUCCGUGGAACAUUGUCGAUCGAAUUCUACUCGCAAAGCUUCUGCACCAGGAAUCUUCACAUGACCGGCCCCAUAUCCAUGAAUCUAUUAGUUGUUGGGCAGGCAUGGUAUUCUCCAUAAGUAAUGUAGUUCUUGCUGCUUCUUCGCUAUCAAUCUUUUGACAUGGACCACAAUUACAUCCAUGUUGAGGGCCACAAAUACC